rnacentral:rRNA from 1 species
UAGGGAAUUUUCGGCAAUGGGGGCAACCCUGACCGAGCAAUGCCGCGUGAACGACGAAGGUCUUCGGAUCGUAAAGUUCUGUGAUUGGGGAAGAACAGCAUGAUCAGGAAAUGGGUCAUGUUUGACGGUACCCGAUUAGAAAGCCCCGGCUAACUAUGUGCCAGCAGCCGCGGUAAAACAUAGGGGGCGAGCGUUAUCCGGAAUUAUUGGGCGUAAAGAGUACGUAGGCGGCCUGUUAAGUCUGAUGUGAAAUCCCGCGGCUUAACCGCGGAGGGUCAUUGGAAACUGGCAGGCUUGAGUACGGCAGGGGUAAGUGGAAUUCCAAGUGGAGCGGUGAAAUGCGUAGAUAUUUGGAGGAACACCAGUGGCGAAGGCGGCUUACUGGGCCGGAACUGACGCUGAGGUACGAAAGCGUGGGGAGCAAACAGG